CCAUUUAAUACGAUAUAUUUAAAUCGUGCGUGGAGCGCGGCCUUAUCAUUAUGUACAUAGUCUGUGUAAAUGCUCGUGUUCAGUUUAGUAUCCAUUCAAUUUACAGUUAUAGAGAUCAACGAGCUACAACGUCGACAGCAAAUAUUGACCAAAGUGCUUUGAAAAAAUCUCACGGUAAACAUAAUCUGACGACUGACAAGCUGUACUAUACAUCUCUAAGCCGAAAUGAGUGGUUACGCGAAACUUCUGAUUUUCGCCUUUCUGUUGGUUCUGUCUGUAAGCCAAGUAUUAGGAUGCAGAGGCCAAUGUUGGAAAGAUGUUAAGCCUCGUGACGAUUUUUGUUCGGAAAUAUUCAGAUACCAAUACACUACUAUGGCACCGGCAAAUGUGUUGUGUUACUGUUGUAGAAGGUUUAUCGUAGAAGAUUAAAAAUAAAAACCCAAAAUCCAAAAUUUUACAUUAUUUUUAAACUAUAAUAUUAUAAUAUAAAUUAUUUAGGUUAUGAACAAUGAUGCAAUACACGCCGUAUCAACUGCAGAAACUCAAGAUAAGCAUUACAGUAUAAUAUAAUAAUACUCAGAAGAAAUUCAGAAACAUAAUUUGAUAAAACAAAAACCAUCUCCUAGCUUAAAGAUUAUAAUUUUUAUUUUAAAAUGUUCAUUAUGUAAUAAAUUAUAAUACUUUGAAGGUUUUUUUUGUAUCAAUAGUAUGUUUAAAUGUUUACCUCAAAUGACAUUGUGAUUUAUAUUAUACAUUUGUAUCAAUUAUUAUCACACAAAGAUUUAAAAUUAAAACUAUAUUUGAUUAUGUCUUGAAAUAAUAUUUUUGUGGUAUAAUAAAUGUAAUAUACCUAAUUGUUUUUCGUUGCCACCAAUUAUCAAUAAUUAUAAAGCUAUUACAAUAA